GGGUUUGGCGGAAUUGGUAGACGCGCUGCUUAUCUUUUAAAAAAGUAGGUUCCAGUAUCGCAAGAUGUGAGAGUUCAAGUCUUUUUAAAGUCG
rnacentral:tRNA from 1 species